rnacentral:sRNA from 1 species
GCCGCCGCCCACCCACGGCUCUGGCCAGGUUCUCCGCUCCCGGCGCCGGGGGUCCCGGCGGCCGCAUGAGCCGCGCGCGUGGGGCGCUGUGCCGGGCCUGCCUCGCGCUGGCCGCGGCCCUGGCCGCGCUGCUAUUACUGCCGCUGCCGCUGCCCCGCGCGCCCGCCCCGGCCCGGACCCCCGCCCCGGCCCCGCGCGCGCCCCCAUCCCGGCCUGCCGCCCCCAGCCUGCGGCCCGACGACGUCUUCAUCGCGGUCAAGACCACCCGGAAGAACCACGGGCCGCGCCUGCGGCUGUUGCUGCGCACCUGGAUCUCCCGGGCCCGCCGGCAGACGUUUAUCUUCACCGACGGGGACGACCCUGAGCUCGAGCUCCAGGGCGGUGAGUGUCCCCCCGCCCCGGCUCCCGUGGGACCUGCCCCCCCGAGCCCUCCUCGCUCCGAAGCCACGGCCCCUUCGCUGCUGUGGGUGCCCUUCUCUGCCCAGGCUCCCGAGGCCCGGGGAGGCCCCGACGCUGCCCAGGUCACGCGGCCUGCGGAGGGCCCACCCUGCCAACCAAGCUCUGCUCCCCACCAGCCUCUCACAGUGGCCGCUUCCCGGGGCGUGGGGCUAGUGCCACGUCCCCUGAAGAAGCGCCAGUAGGGAAUCCGCCCUUCCAGGCCAGGUCAGGGCGAGCUGCCUCCGUCCUGUUUCCACUCAAGAGAUCCCAACUGAUGGCCGCCUGCUUCAGUCUCGGGGGCACCAGCAGGGUCAGCCCGUGAGGGCUAGGGCUGUGGUUGGACCCAGGCAAGGUGUCCAGGCAUGUCAGACAGCCACGUUGUGCCCUGGCCUUUGGGGGCAGGUGGGGCACAGGCCUUACCCCAACCCCCAGUGCCAGCCUCUACGUGGGUGCUUCCCGUGUCUCUGACUCGCAGGUGGCCGUGUCAUCAACACCAACUGCUCGGCGGUGCGCACCCGUCAGGCCCUCUGCUGCAAGAUGUCCGUGGAGUACGACAAGUUCAUUGAGUCCGGGCGCAAGUGGUUCUGCCACGUGGAUGACGACAAUUAUGUGAACCCCAGGAGCCUCCUGCAUCUGCUCUCCAGCUUCUCACCCAGCCAGGACGUCUACCUGGGGCGGCCCAGCCUGGACCACCCCAUCGAGGCCACCGAGAGGGUCCAGGGUGGCAGAACUGUGAGUGUCGGAGCAGACUCCUUCCUUCACACCAGCCCGGGAGGCACAGCAGAGAGCAUGGAAAGCUGUCUUGAGAAGGGCAUAGGGUUGGGAGCCCAAGCUGAUCUACCCAGGUGGUUUGCAUGUGGUGUUUCAGGAGCAGGCCAGGAGGCCCUCACCUUACUGGGCAGAGAGGGGGUGUCUGGGCCAGGUGAGGAGGGUCUGGAGGCCACGGGUCAAUGGCCUGCAGAAACCCCCGGCCCUUCUUGCCCCAGGAAGCUUCUGUUACCUGGGUGGGAUCUCCUAAGGGGCAGCUUAAUAAAGAUGCCUGGGGAAUCCCAUGAAGAGUCAGGGCUGAGAAGCCUUGUCCCGGGCAGCUCUGACUGGCACCCCAUCUUCAGGUGACUACGGUGAAGUUCUGGUUUGCUACUGGUGGGGCCGGUUUCUGCCUCAGCAGAGGCCUUGCUCUCAAGAUGAGCCCAUGGGCCAGGUGAGUGGGGGUCCAGCUGCCUGGGCUGGGAGGCGGAGGCUGAGACCUGAAAGGUGCUGACCGGCCUCCCCCCAGCCUGGGCAGCUUCAUGAGCACAGCUGAGCAGGUGCGGCUGCCGGAUGACUGCACAGUGGGCUACAUCGUGGAGGGACUCCUGGGCGCCCGCCUGCUGCACAGCGCCCUCUUCCACUCUCACCUGGAGAACCUGCAGAGGCUGCCGCCGGACACCCUGCUCCAGCAGGUUACCUUGAGCUAUGGGGGUCCUGAGAACCCACAUAACGUAGUGAACGUGGCUGGAGGCUUCAGCCUGCAUCAGGACCCCACACGGUGAGUGGGUAGUGGCAUGGGUAGGCCCUAAGCCCCACAGGGGCUCUGGCAUCAGCACGCCCACCCACAGCCCUGACCCCCACUUCUCCCUCUACUCACAGCUCUGACCCCCACUUCUCCCUCCACCCACAGCCCUGACCCCACUUCUCCCUCCACCACAGCCCUGAUCCCCAGUGCUCCCUCCUCCCACAGCCCUGACCCCCACUUCUCCCUCCACCCACAGCCCUGACCCCCACUUCUCCCUCUACCCACAGCCCUGAUCCCCACUUCUCCCUCUACCCAUAGCCCUGACCCCCACUUCUCCCUCCACCCACAGCCCUGACCCCCACUUUUUCCUUCCCCAGGUUUAAGUCUAUCCACUGCCUUCUCUACCCAGACACGGACUGGUGUCCCAGGCAGAAGCAGGGCGCCCCGACCUCUCGGUGACACCAACCACCCCUGACCCAGGGCUGCCUGGCUCUGUCCCAGGCGCGGGGAGCCAGAGCCCCCUAUGGCCUCGGUGGGCUCCCUCAGAUGCCAUGGCUACACCAGUGAGAUGCAGGCACCUGGCAGACCCUCUGGCUAACCUGCAGCCCCCCCCUCCCAGCCCCUGGUGGGCUGCGGUGAUGGGUGUUUUGGGAGAACGAAGACAGCUAGGCUGAUGGCCAGGGCCGCAGUGCCCCUCCCCCCGACCCAGCCGCAGAGUUGAUCCCAUGGGAACAGGCUUCUACCCCAGCACUUGAGCACCUGGGAGGGAGCUGCCAUCCAGGCUCCAUUACCUGUUGCUGAAGGCGGGUGCUAGGCUGAUUAGGUGCCGAAGAGCAGGCUCCAAGCCAAGGUCCUGGCCCAGCCACGGCCAUUGCAAGGGCUCAGCCUGGCAGGCUUUGUGGGGGACGCCGCCCUCUCUGCCGCAGGCCGGGUGCAUGGCCGGGCACCACAGUGGGACUCAGGCUCGGGAAGGUCAUGCUCUCGGCCAGAGCUUUGCUCCCAGUCCGGGCGCUUCAUUCGGAGGCCUCUUGACUGGGACCACAGAGAUGUUUUCUCUGCUCUGACUUGUGGCUCGGGACUACUUUCUGGGUCGUGCUCCUGCCCCACCGUGCCUGGGCCCGUAAACAACAGGAGUCUUUGUUCCGCUGACCUGCCCAUCCCACCUCCCUGCCUGGUGCCUUCCAUGGAGGGAAAUGGGACAGGGGCCGUCAUCUCCCCUCUGCCUCCUGCUUUGCUGUUGCCGAGCACGAGUAAAGUCUCUGUCCUUACUCCA